UACGUAGGGUGCGAGCGUUAAUCGGAAUUACUGGGCGUAAAGCGUGCGCAGGCGGUUGUGCAAGACAGAUGUGAAAUCCCCGGGCUUAACCUGGGAAUGGCAUUUGUGACUGCACGGCUAGAGUGUGUCAGAGGGGGGUGGAAUUCCACGUGUAGCAGUGAAAUGCGUAGAGAUGUGGAGGAACACCGAUGGCGAAGGCAGCCCCCUGGGCUAGCACUGACGCUCAUGCACAAAAGCGUGGGGGGCAAACAGG
rnacentral:rRNA from 1 species